rnacentral:sRNA from 1 species
GAGAGAUAUCUAAAAUUGGAGUGUUGCCGGAGAAGUUGAGAAACUAAGGAAGAAGGAGACUUAGAUCAACAAAGUAAGGGCUGAAAAUCUUAAGGAACCAACCAACCUUUGCUGGAGAAAGAGAUGAUGUUCCAGGUGAAGCUGAAGAAGUUUAGAACGAGGAGCGUGUUGGGAAAUUUACAUGGAAAUUUUAAAGUGCGAAAAUAAAUUGUUGUGAAGUAUUGUACUUUAAGCAGACUUUUAAUUUGUUAUGGUUUGUAAUUUUAAAACAUCUUUUAAUAUUCGGUUUGUAAUCUAAUAAUUACUCGCUAAUACUUCGAUGUAUUUUUCAGUAAUAAUAUUAAAUGUUGUGCCUUUAAAAGUAAACAAUUAUUUUGAAAAAAUUUCUGUGACAUUCCGAGAAGGGGUGUUACA